UACAGAGGGGGCAAGCGUUAUUCGGAAUUAUUGGGCGUAAAGGGCGCGUAGGCGGCUUUGCAAGUGGCGGGUGAAAUCCCUCGGCUUAACCGAGGAACUGCCUGUCAAACUGCAUGGCUUGAGACCGGGGAGAGGUGAGUGGAAUUCCCAGUGUAGCGGUGAAAUGCGUAGAUAUUGGGAGGAACACCAGUGGCGAAGGCGGCUCACUGGACCGGAACUGACGCUGAGGCGCGAAAGCCAGGGGAGCAAACAGGG
rnacentral:rRNA from 1 species